GCUCUCUCUGUCCAUCCACACACGCUCUCUCUUACCCUCUCUCUCUCCCCCCCUGGCUCUCUCUGUCCAUCCACACACGCUCUCUCUUUUUUUGGUGUGAUUCUCUAUGGACGUCCAGUCCUCCAGAUGUGGCCUUGCUGCGGUCUCCAUAACUCUGUGCCUGAAGCGUGCCUAUUGGCCGCUGUCUCCAUGUCACUCAGUGCCUCAGCAUGCUCAUUGGCCAGUCAGGCUGAAGGGUGGCUUGGACAGCAACAUCUGGCCAAUAGGAGACAAUCUGGACCAGUAUCACAUAGGCUCAAACCACCUGGCCUACUGUGUUUGGGGCAGCUUCAACAAGGCAUAGUCAUUACACUUAUUUCAGUCAGGGGGCGAAUGGGGAAUAUGAGAAUAGCUGGCACACUUUAUUGUGGUGGUUCAGUUUAGGGUUUGUUGCGAGAUUUUCUCACUUAGAUGGAUUACAUCCUCACUUAUCGGAUGUUCUAUAAUGAUUUAUAGUUUAUAAAACAUACGAAUGAGCUUGUUAAACUAAGAUUUAAAGUGGGCUAUUUUUGAGUGUUAUGAUUCAAACAGGAGCUGAGGAGCUGUUUCUGCAAGGACAGGACGUACUUCUGGACGGUGAUAGCGACUCCGACUGGGAGCCCCCGGUGCCAAGCUGCCCGCUCUACUCCUACCUCCAGUGGUGUUCAUAUGCCACAGUUCAUUACUGCAGGCAUGACUGUGCCUCAGGGCCAAAAGGGCACAGCAUGGAGGCGUCAUUGUGUUCUGUGUCGCACCUGCAUCCCUUGUACAGUUUGCCUCUGCUUUACAUCAGAAAGAGACUGCUAUGGGACAUGGCACAGGCAGCAAAAUAUUGUGUAGAGGACUUCCAAGGGGUCUACUGGGUUUUUAAAAAUAUUUUUUUUCUAAUAUUUUUGUAAACAUUUUUAUAUAUUUUUUUUUUGUGUGUUAGAAUUGCUUUUUGAUAUGUGGUAUAUAGUUAUUUGCACUGUUCCUGAAGUUAUCAGUCUGAAACUUUGCACACCUACAGUUGCCCUCUUGUGUUAUCCAUCAAAAUUAUCUCCAGCAUCCUAUCUGACUGUGUGGCUAUUCUAGUACAUGUGAAAGAUGAUGCUACAACAAUAAAAAACAGAAAACGUA